GGGCUCGUAGUAUAGUGGCAGAAUAGUGCAUUCGCAUUGCACAGACGGGAGUUCGAUUCUCCCCGGGUCCACCA
rnacentral:tRNA from 1 species